rnacentral:rRNA from 1 species
GGCCCAGACUCCUACGGAGGCAGCAGUGGGAAUAUUGCACAAUGGGCGCAAGCCUGAUGCAGCAACGCCGCGUGAGGGACGACGGCCUUCGGGUUGUAAACCUCUUUUAGCAGGGAAGAAGCGAAAGUGACGGUACCUGCAGAAAAAGCGCCGGCUAACUACGUGCCAGCAGCCGCGGUAAUACGUAGGGCGCAAGCGUUAUCCGGAAUUAUUGGGCGUAAAGAGCUCGUAGGCGGUUUGUCGCGUCUGCUGUGAAAUCCGGAGGCUCAACCUCCGGCCUGCAGUGGGUACGGGCAGACUAGAGUGCGGUAGGGGAGAUUGGAAUUCCUGGUGUAGCGGUGGAAUGCGCAGAUAUCAGGAGGAACACCGAUGGCGAAGGCAGAUCUCUGGGCCGUAACUGACGCUGAGGAGCGAAAGGGUGGGGAGCAAACAGGCUUAGAUACCCUGGUAGUCCACCCCGUAAACGUUGGGAACUAGUUGUGGGGUCCAUUCCACGGAUUCCGUGACGCAGCUAACGCAUUAAGUUCCCCGCCUGGGGAGUACGGCCGCAAGGCUAAAACUCAAAGGAAUUGACGGGGACCCGCACAAGCGGCGGAGCAUGCGGAUUAAUUCGAUGCAACGCGAAGAACCUUACCAAGGCUUGACAUAUACGAGAACGGGCCAGAAAUGGUCAACUCUUUGGACACUCGUAAACAGGUGGUGCAUGGUUGUCGUCAGCUCGUGUCGUGAGAUGUUGGGUUAAGUCCCGCAACGAGCGCAACCCUCGUUCUAUGUUGCCAGCACGUAAUGGUGGGAACUCAUGGGAUACUGCCGGGGUCAACUCGGAGGAAGGUGGGGAUGACGUCAAAUCAUCAUGCCCCUUAUGUCUUGGGCUUCACGCAUGCUACAAUGGCCGGUACAAAGGGCUGCAAUACCGCGAGGUGGAGCGAAUCCCAAAAAGCCGGUCCCAGUUCGGAUUGAGGUCUGCAACUCGACCUCAUGAAGUCGGAGUCGCUAGUAAUCGCAGAUCAGCAACGCUGCGGUGAAUACGUUCCCGGGUCUUGUACACACCGCCCGUCAAGUCAUGAAAGUCGGUAACACCUGAAGCCGGUGGCCUAACCCUUGUGGAGGGAGCCGUCGAAG